AUUCUAGUUCCAUUGCUCACUAGCUAUGACCUUGGUGUUGGGAGAGGCAGUUUGCCAUGGGCCCCAAGCAUCUCUGCACAUCCUUGCUGAGUGUGCCAAACCACAACACCUCACCAUCCUCUGACCCUGAGCAGUUUCUGUACCAGUCACAUAGCGAUUAAGUGGGUCAAGGCACUGACAGUGUGACUACUGUACAGCUCACUCCUUGGGGAGAGGGGCUGGGCUGUGUGUGGCUUGUUAUAAAAGGUGUUGAGACUUUGACCCUAGGUUCCUCACAUGGGGCACAAUCCACUGUGUGAGCAGCUGCCAUCUGGGCUCAUGACUGCCCCAUGAGACUUUGGAGCACGGGCACCAGAGUUACCAUGCUGAUGUUCCCAUUCUUGCUGUGCUGUGAGUAAGAGACUGCCCUGCUCUGGUCCCUUCAUCUCACUCUCUUUCGCACCUGUGAAGGGAAGGCACAUCAACCUGGCUGCUGGCUUGGUCAUGUCCUUUGCAGUCUUGUUCCUCUUUGCCAUUCUCUAUGACACUGGGGCUUUUUCCUGAUACCUGGUUCACUUUCUUAACUUCCUUGUGCAUCAGUUUCUACAUUUAGAAAUGAGGAUAAUAUUAAUAGUACUUAACUCAUAGUGUUCUUGUGAGGAUAAAAUCAGCGAACGUAAGUUAAAAACUUAGAACAGAGCCCGGCACAUAAUUAUGUCCAGACUAAUGCCAUGUGGCUCUAUUUCCUCCUGUUAGUUCCUAACUUCUUGGGUUGCCUCCUAAAACUCAAAAUUCUACCUUUCUUUUGCUGGGAAAUUUACUUUUCUUUGUCCCAAUGCUAGUCCAUCUGGGCCAUGCCUUGUGAGCUAACUUUUCCCAGUCAAAAUGCUUAACAAAGACGCUUCUCUUCUCUAACCAGAAAUUUUUCCAUAGCUCUUAAAUUAGAAACUUUUGUUCUCUCUCAGUUACAACAGAGGUGGUAUUCAGAUCAUGGAACAGCACUCCUGCAAGGGCACUGACCUGUCAGAACUCUCUACAAGGACCUGCUAAAAACAGCACCUCAUCCAUCAGGUCCAGUGACUGGUCUAAGGGGUGGAUAUGUGACCCAAGCCCUUCUACCAGGGUCCAUCUCUGGAAAAGUUCGACUGGCCCAGGGGAAGAUCCCAGUCUUCUUUAGUCCCUCAGCUAGAAGGACUGGCUGUGGCGAUGAUCCUGAAGCAUGGAGAGAACUUCUCUGCAGUAGAAAAGAAUAAAGGCUACCUUCAAAGAGAACA
rnacentral:lncRNA from 1 species